rnacentral:tRNA from 1 species
GGAAUAACAUAACAGUUCUGCUAAAACUGUAGUCCAUUAAUUAUUUUAAUGGUAUCUCC